UACGAAGGGGGCUAGCGUUGCUCGGAUUGACUGGCGUAAGGGCGCGUAGGCGGUUCGUACAGUCAGACGUGAAAUUCCUGGGCUCAACCUGGGGCUGCGUUUGAUACGUGCGGACUUGAGUGCGGAAGAGGGUCGUGGAAUUCCCAGUGUAGAGGUGAAAUUCGUAGAUAUUGGGAAGAACACCGGUGGCGAAGGCGGCGACCUGGUCCGAUACUGACGCUGAGGCGCGAAGCGUGGGGAGCAAACAGGAUUAGAUACC
rnacentral:rRNA from 1 species